AGUGAACGCUGGCGGUAGGCCUAACACAUGCAAGUCGAACGGCAGCACAGUAAGAGCUUGCUCUUACGGGUGGCGAGUGGCGGACGGGUGAGGAAUACAUCGGCAUCUACUUUUUCGUGGGGGAUAACGUAGGGAAACUUACGCUAAUACCGCAUACGACCUGCGGGUGAAAGCAGUGGAUCUUCGGACCUUGCGCGAUUGAGUGAGCCGAUGUCGGAUUAGCUAGUUGGCGGGGUAAAGGCCCACCAAGGCGACGAUCCGUAGCUGGUCUGAGAGGGUGAUCAGCCACACUGGAACUGAGACACGGUCCAGACUCCUACGGGAGGCAGCAGUGGGGAAUAUUGGACAAUGGGCGCAAGCCUGAUCCAGCCAUACCGCGUGGGUGAAGAAGGCCUUCGGGUUGUAAAGCCCUUUUGUUGGGAAAGAAAAGCAGCAGGUUAAUACCCCGCUGUUCUGACGGUACCCAAAGAAUAAGCACCGGCUAACUUCGUG
rnacentral:rRNA from 1 species